GGGUCUUUUUGCAUCAUAUGUUAACCUGUUUUGGCUUUUAUGCUACAUGGAUAAAAUGAGUUAUAUAGGCUCGAGUCAAUGAAUUUAAGGGUACCAUGAAGGAGACCUUGGAGUCGGUGGAUAAGCUUUGAGUUGAUUUGGAUGAGGCCAAUACUUUCAAGUUGUGCCUUGAGAAUCAGGUAAAAUCUGCCGAGAACCAGGUAGCCCUAUUGCAUCGCCAAGUCCUGGAGUUACAAGCUCAAGCUGAAGGGGCCCAGGAUGCUUCAACCAGGGUUGUUGAAC
rnacentral:lncRNA from 1 species